UGGGAGGGAAGGCACUCUCUGUCAAGCUGCUGUCACCUUACCUGAAGUAAGGAGUCCACGCCUGCAUGUCCGAGGAAAACAGUUUUCUCAAACACAUUAGUUGAAAAACUGAAGACGCUGCCUAAAAUACAAGCUGAGUUAGAGACAGCCCUUGUAAGACUAGAAAAGAAUCUAAGCCAGAAUGAGGUUACUGCCUAUGCAAAGAAGAAGACAGCUCAUCACAGACUCAGCACAUCCUGAAUUGAACUUAUCCUUCCAUACAAGCCUAGUCCUUUUCUUCAUGGAAGCACUGGAUCUCAAGUCAUAACUGUGCUAGAGGCCUGAGAAUCAGGAGAGUCAAUGGUAUUAGUGCUUGUCCGGAAGCCAUCAUGCUUCAAAACCAAGAAGAGCUGAUUUUCCAGUUGGAGUCUAAAGUGACUUGCUGAGGUUGGUACUAUUUAUCAUUCCCAUUUUCACUGACAAGGAAGAGAAAAGUUAAAGAACUACUUGAGAUUACCCAGCUGGCACAUGGCCAGGCGAAGAUUGGAACAAAGCCUGCGGAGCUCAGAACCUGUGCAGUUGACUGUCACAUUAUAUCACUCUUACCUCCCAGCGAUCUACAGUAAGGCCCCCACCAAGGGACUGAGGAGAGAGGGAAGACUUCAGGAAACUUGGACUAGAGAGUACGCUGUAAAGUGAGUCUGGUCCACAUGAUAUUAUCGUGGUCCGUAUCUACAGGAAUGAUAUGUUAACAGAAGGGACUGGAAUGAAAAGAUAAAAAGAAUCGAGACCACAGGAUAACAUAUAUCUGGGUUUUCCCAGCAUUGCCCAUGGAAUAGAGAGCUGUAUUUAUUGACCAGGAGUACCCUGAUCACGCAGAGUAAGAAUACUCUAUUGCAGAUGGGACAGCACAUCAGGUUUUUCUGCAGAGUGAAUAAAACACCCCUCUAAUCCCCCUGUGCUGGUUAAUGAACAAAUGGCAUUUCUGUUUAUAAAUCAGCCUUUUGUGAGUUUGGUUUGCUUGAAUCAGCACCUCCCCCUUCCCUACAACCCCCUCUCCCCCUCAAUCACCUACUAUUCCUCUCCCAUCUGCCUCCACUGCCCAGAGCUUCAUCAGUCCCUCCACUUCCCCCGACCCCUGGGCUGAACUAUAGUGACUACGAAAGCUGCCGGCUUGCACCAGCCAGCUAGCUUGCCAGCUUUACUCACCACCAUUCUGAGCGGCUGUUCUGAGUUGUUUACAGCAUAAUACAAAUUUAUCUGGGGAACGGCUUUUAAGUUAUUUUUGUGCCAUGGUUUUGAUUUAUUUAAGCUUCUCCCAACUAAUUGAAGAAGCUUAGUACAUUUUGGUACAGAAAUUUGAUUUGUCAUUUUGCGCUCUUGAUCUGUUGCCUCCCAGGAAUGUGUGGUUCCUAUCUUAUUUGCCAUCUGACGCAGGGAAAGCUUAGGUGGUGGACAUUUAUAUUUUGUGCAGUUAAUGUGGCAUGGAUUCUAGAUUUAUCUUUUGCUGUAACUUGGUGAGAAAAUGCAUUUGGAG
rnacentral:lncRNA from 1 species